rnacentral:rRNA from 1 species
UACGUAGGGCGCAAGCGUUUGUCCGGAAUUAUUGGGCGUAAAGAGCUCGUAGGCGGUUUGUCGCGUCUGCCGUGAAAACCCGAGGCUUAACCUCGUGGCUUGCGGUGGAUACGGGCAGACUAGAGGUAGGUAGGGGAGAUGGAAUUCCUGGUGUAGCGGUGAAAUGCGCAGAUAUCAGGAGGAACACCGAUGCGAAGGCAGGUCUCUGGGCCACUACUGACGC